CCCCAGACUCCUACGGGAGGCAGCAGUCGGGAAUAUUGCACAAUGGAGGAAACUCUGAUGCAGUGACACCGCGUAUAGGAAGAAGGUUUUCGGAUUGUAAACUAUUUUAGACAGGGAAGAAAAAAGACAGUACCUGUAGAAUAAGCUCCGGCUAACUACGUGCCAGCAGCCGCGGUAAUACGUAGGGAGCAAGCGUUAUCCGGAAUUAUUGGGUGUAAAGGGUGCGUAGACGGGACAGCAAGUUAGUUGUGAAAACCCUCGGCUUAACUGAGGAACUGCAACUAAAACUAUUGUUCUUGAGUGCAGGAGAGGAAAGCGGAAUUCCUAGUGUAGCGGUGAAAUGCGUAGAUAUUAGGAGGAACACCAGUGGCGAAGGCGGUCUGCUGGACAGCAACUGACGCUGAGGCGCGAAAGCGUGGGGAGCAAACAGGAUUAGAUACCCCAGUA
rnacentral:rRNA from 1 species